rnacentral:rRNA from 1 species
AAUAGAUACCCGGGUAGUCCACGCCGUAAACUAUGGAUGCUAGCUGUUACCAGUAUCGACCCUGGUAGUAGCGAAGCUAACGCGUUAAGCAUCCCGCCUGUGGAGUACGAGCGCAAGCUUAAAACAUAAAGGAAUUGACGGGGACCCGCACAAGCGGUGGAGCGUGUUGUUUAAUUCGAUGGUAAGCGAAGAACCUUACCCAGGCUUGACAUCCUGCGAAUCUUGCCGAAAGGCGAGAGUGCUUUAUUGAGCGCAGUGACAGGUGUUGCAUGGCCGUCGUCAGUUCGUGUCGUGAGAUGUUUGGUUAAGUCCAUCAACGAGCGCAACCCUUAUAGUCAGUUGAAUUUCUCUGGCUAGACUGCCCUGGUAACAGGGAGGAAGGAGGGGAUGAUGUCAGGUCAGUAUUACCCUUACGUCUGGGGCUACAAACACGCUACAAUGGCCGGUACAAAGGGCAGCCAACCCGCGAGGGGAGCAAAUCCCAUCAAAGCCGGUCGUCAGUUCGGAUAGCAGGCGUGAAACUCGCCUGCGUUG